GACAGAGGGGGCGAGCGUUGUCCGGAUUUACUGGGUGUAAAGGGUGCUCAGGCGGGUCUGUAAGUCAGGGGUGAAAUCCCAGAGCUUAACUCUGGAACUGCCUUUGAUACUGCAGAUCUCGAGUUUGGGAGAGGCGAGUGGAAUAUCUGGUGUAGCAGUGAAAUGCGUAGAUAUCAGAUAGAACACCAAUGGCGAAGGCAGCUCGCUGGCCCAAUACUGACGCUAAAGCACGAAAGCGUGGGGAGCAAACAGG
rnacentral:rRNA from 1 species